CUCAUCCCCAGUGACACCAGCAAUGGAAGAAGCUGGAGAGAAGUGGUGAUAGUCUUCUCUUGGACUGCCCGGGAGCAGGUGCUUCAGGCCAGUUAUUUCAGGAAUGGGUUCUUCAAGUUGGACUUGAGGACUCCAGUUGGCUGUGGCUGGGACAGAAUAUCUCUGUGAAGAUUCAGCUCCUUAUGAACAACUCCUGCUCCUGUUUCUUCAUGCCAGGCCGGAUUCUCCCAUGCGCAGCCCCACGUGAGGAACCUGUCCUGAUUCCACAACAUGCUGUAACUGUGUAUUGAAGCCUUAUCAACUUCCUUGGCUCCAUGUUUAAAGCCAGGGAGGUGGUUAUGGGCAUUCCUGAGUGAGGGUCAUGGAGUUUUGUCUUAUUCCAUAAAUAUUUCAGUAGAAAGCCAACGGAAGUGUUUGUGAGUGAAGUUCCGAUGUAAAUCAGAGCUUUGACAACUUGUCCGUUUAUCACAACAACUGCUAUCCCAUUCUAUUGGGUACUGCCGUGGUACUUCAGCUGAGGUAUUAGAGGUACUUGGGCUAUUCAGAUUUUGACAAACGUUUAUUUCUAAAUACUCCUUAACACUAUUUCUCGAAUCAGUAAAAAGAAUUCAUUCAAU
rnacentral:lncRNA from 7 species